rnacentral:rRNA from 1 species
UGCAUUAAGUGAUCCGCCUGGGGAGUACGUCCGCAAGGAUAAAACUCAAAGGAAUUGACGGGGACCCGCACAAGCGGUGGAGCAUGUUCUUUAAUUCGAUGCAACACGAAGAACCUUACCUGGGUUUGACAUCCGCGGAAUCGCUACGAAAGUAGCGAGUGCUCACUUUGUGAGAACCGCGUGACAGGUACUGCAUGGCUGUCGUCAGUUCGUGUCGUAAGAUGUUGGGUUAAGUCCCGUAACGAACGCAACCCCUGUCUUUAGUUGCCAGCAUUAAGUUGGGGACUCUAGAGAGACUGCCAAGGUGACAACUUGGAGGAAGGUGGGGAUGACGUCAAGUCCAUAUGGUCCUUACAUCCAGGGCGAGAAACGUGCUACAAUGGUUGGUACAAUGGGGAGCAAAAUCGCAAGAUUGAGCAAAUCCUCAAAACCAAUCUCAGUUCGGAUUGGAGUCUGCAACCCGACUCCAUGAAGUUGGAAUCGCUAGUAAUCGCGGAUCAGCAUGCCGCGGUGAAUACGUAUCCGGGUCUUGUACACACCGCCCGUCAAGUCAAC